rnacentral:lncRNA from 1 species
AUCUGUAAGAGUGUGAACUACUUGUAAAAAGGUUGUAAGAGGGGUAUUCGGUCCUUCCCUUUCAAAGUGAUUUGCUAGUGGAAGUUGGGAGCCUCAUCGAAGAAGGCUUCGCAAGUGGAUGUAGGUCAUUUGACCGAACCACUUUACAUUGUGGUGUUCCUUGAAUGUGUGAGUGUUUAAUUUUUUGAACCACUUAUCUUCUUAGCAGCAAACUAUUCGGUUUUCUUCUUGUUGAAUCUCGUAUUUUGAUGAUGAAACUACUUGAUAUAUGUUUAUGAUUUAAUCUGCGUUUUGAGUGACGCAGGAUGCUUUGAUCAGAAUGAGACAAUUAAAGCAGGAAAAUCAUGUUGUGCCGAAGGAACAUGUCAGAAGAUUGGACGUUGGGCCGGUGGAUCGGUCGAUGUAUCGACAGAAGGCUUCGGGCCGUGGACUCGGGCAUCGGGCCAAGAAGAGCGGGUAUUGCGCCAAGGAUAUCGGAGUUGCAGAGUCAACUGGCCGAUUGGGCAAUAGGCCGCAGGAGAGGACGAUGAGCCGAAGAAUCGGACGAAGCGUCGAGGGACCAAUGACAUGUCGGACAACUUGGUUAAUUGCUUAGGAUUAAUUGUCUCGAUCGAAGUUUUGUUUUAAUUGUGCAGGAUUAACGAUGAUAACGAUGAAGACAUAAAGCGAAACAAAGUGUCGGAGUCAAGCGCGAAGGAUUUGUUGCGAGUUCGAGAGUUCGACGGAAGUCUGAAGGUUCGUUGGGAGUUCGCGCAGCUCGCCAAGAAAGAUAGGAGCUUGCCGGGGAGUCCGCAUAAUGGUUUCCGAGAGUUCAUCGGAAGACCGCCGGAAGUUUGCCGGAAGCUCGCCAGAAGAAGUCUUGACUUGCGGACUUUGUAAUGGUUUAGAAAAUGUCUUUAAAAUCAUAGUUAGCACGUUAAUUAGGGUUAGGAUUAGGUGUUAAUCCUAUAACCCAAGUAGGGGCCAAUUAGGCCCAAGUUCGGACUGGUUUGGGCCAAGUUUGGAGCCAAACCAAGUGAUUUGAAAUAGUGAAAGAGGUGGCACCGCCCCAGCCAGGAGGUAGCACCGCCCAGGCUAUGUCUCCCAGCGAGACUGGGAGGUGCAACCGCCCCAGCCAGGAGGUGGCACCGCCUGGGGCUCAGUCUUCGAGCAAGACUGGGCGGUGCAACCUCCCUGACAGAGAGGUGGCAGCGCCUGAGCUCGGUCUUCGAGCUCUGNNNNNNNNNNNNNNNNNNNNAAGGUAGUUGGCCUUCGCCUAUUGAAGGAAGGCUUCUAGUUGACGUCGGUAACCUCAUCGGUGGAGGAAGCCAAAAGUGGAGUAGGUCAAGACUGACCGAACCACUCUAAAUCUCUGGUUUGCGUUUAUUUUGAGCACUUUAUCAUUACUGCAAACCUCCUACAUAGCUACUGCUCUCUGCGCUUUUACGAACGAGUUCUGUGCAGUUUACGUUCACAUCUUAAUUCCAUUUACAAACUGCAAAUUGCUCUCUGCGCUUUUAC